UACGGGGGGGGCAAGCGUUGUUCGGAAUUACUGGGCGUAAAGGGCGCGUAGGCGGCCUUCUAAGUCGAACGUGAAAUCCCCGGGCUCAACCCGGGAACUGCGUCCGAUACUGGAAGGCUUGAAUCCGGGAGAGGGAUGCGGAAUUCCAGGUGUAGCGGUGAAAUGCGUAGAUAUCUGGAGGAACACCGGUGGCGAAGGCGGCAUCCUGGACCGGCAUUGACGCUGAGGCGCGAAAGCGUGGGGAGCAAACAGG
rnacentral:rRNA from 1 species